GAAAUGCGAUAAGUAAUGUGAAUUGCAGAAUUCAGUGAAUCAUCGAAUCUUUGAACGCACAUUGCGCCCGCCAGUAUUCUGGCGGGCAUGCCUGUUCGAGCGUCAUUUCAACCAUCAAGCCCCCGGGCUUGUGUUGGGGACCUGCGGCUGCCGCAGGCCCCGAAAACCAGUGGCGGCUCGCUGUCACACCGGGCGUAGUAGAUUUUUCGUCUCGCCCAGGGCGUGCUGCGGGUUCCGGCCGUUAAAAAGCCUCUCUUUUAACCCAAGGUUGACCUCGGAUCAGGUAGGAAGACCCGCUGAACUUAAGC
rnacentral:misc_RNA from 1 species